rnacentral:lncRNA from 10 species
CAAAAAUCACGUUAAAAGUGACCUCACUUCCUUAACAGCUAUUGACUUGUGUCCUCUAAAGAGGGUGAGGGAAGGGGAAGAGGAAAACCUUUAUUCAGCUUCUUUCCUCAGAUAGACCAGAAACCACCAAGGAAAGCAGCAAAUCAUCACAGCCCAGGGGUCGGAGCCAGUGGAGGAGACUGGAAACCUUGGGAGGUGAACCCAGUGAGAAGGCAGAGCUCAGAAGAACUGGAAUUAGCAGCGCCAUGGAGAGAAACUGGAUGCCCAGCAGGUCCGUUCUAUAAAUGCUGGAUGCGUUGGUAAGUGCAUUAUUGUAGGUGGGAUUUGAACUGGGUCUUGA